rnacentral:rRNA from 1 species
UAAUACAUGCAAGUAGAACGCAGAGGUCAGGUGCUUGCACUGGACUGAUGAGUUGCGAACGGGUGAGUAACGCGUAGGUAACCUACCUGAUAGCGGGGGAUAACUAUUGGAAACGAUAGCUAAUACCGCAUAAAAGUGAAUGACCCAUGUCAUUGACUUGAAAGAAGCAAACGCUUCACUAUGAGAUGGACCUGCGUUGUAUUAGCUAGUUGGUAGGGUAAAGGCCUACCAAGGCGACGAUACAUAGCCGACCUGAGAGGGUGAACGGCCACACUGGGACUGAGACACGGCCCAGACUCCUACGGGAGGCAGCAGUAGGGAAUCUUCGGCAAUGGGGGGAACCCUGACCGAGCAACGCCGCGUGAGUGAAGAAGGUUUUCGGAUCGUAAAGCUCUGUUGUUAGAGAAGAACAGUGAUGGGAGUGGAAAGUCCAUCAUUUGACGGUAACUAACCAGAAAGGGACGGCUAACUACGUGCCAGCAGCCGCGGUAAUACGUAGGUCCCGAGCGUUGUCCGGAUUUAUUGGGCGUAAAGCGAGCGCAGGCGGUUUAAUAAGUCUGAAGUUAAAGGCAGUGGCUUAACCAUUGUAUGCUUUGGAAACUGUUAAACUUGAGUGCAGAAGGGGAGAGUGGAAUUCCAUGUGUAGCGGUGAAAUGCGUAGAUAUAUGGAGGAACACCGGUGGCGAAAGCGGCUCUCUGGUCUGUAACUGACGCUGAGGCUCGAAAGCGUGGGGAGCAAACAGGAUUAGAUACCCUGGUAGUCCACGCCGUAAACGCUGAGUGCUAGGUGUUAGGCCCUUUCCGGGGCUUAGUGCCGUA